GAUUUAAAGUCCGGCCUGCCCAAUGAUUUUUAAAUGGCUGCAGUAUUUUGACUGUACAAAGGUAGCAUAAUCAUUAGUUUCUUAAUUAGGAGCUGGAAUGAAUGGUUUGAUGAGAAAUUAACUGUCUCAGUUUAAUUAUUUAGAAAUUUAUUUUUAAGUGAAAAAGCUUAAAUUUUUUAAAAAGACGAGAAGACCCUAUAGAGUUUGAUAUAUUGUUAGUUAUUUAUUUAUGUUUUUAAUGUUUAUAAUUUUUUAAUGUAUUUUGUUGGGGUGACAAGAAAAUUUUUUUAACUUUUCUUUAUUUUUACACUUUUUGGUGAGUAUAAGAUCCUUUGUUUGGAUUAUUAGAUUAAAUUACCUUAGGGAUAACAGCGUAAUUUUUUUUGAAAGUUCUUAUUGAUAAAAAAGUUUGCGACCUCGAUGUUGGAUUAAAGUUUAUUUUUGGUGAAGAAGCUAGAAAAUUUAAGUCUGUUCGACUUUUAGAACUUUACGUGAUCUGAG
rnacentral:rRNA from 1 species